GACGAACGCUGGCGGCGUGCUUAACACAUGCAAGUCGAACGGAAAGGCCCUGCUUUUGUGGGGUGCUCGAGUGGCGAACGGGUGAGUAACACGUGAGUAACCUGCCCUUGACUUUGGGAUAACUUCAGGAAACUGGGGCUAAUACCGGAUAGGAGCUCCUGCUGCAUGGUGGGGGUUGGAAAGUUUCGGCGGUUGGGGAUGGACUCGCGGCUUAUCAGCUUGUUGGUGGGGUAGUGGCUUACCAAGGCUUUGACGGGUAGCCGGCCUGAGAGGGUGACCGGCCACAUUGGGACUGGGAUACGGCCCAGACUGCUACGGGAGGCAGCAGUGGGAAAUAUUGCACAAUGGGCGGAAGCCUGAUGCAGCAACGCCGCGUGCGGGAUGACGGCCUUCGGGUUGUAAACCGCUUUCGCCUGUGACGAAGCGUGAGUGACGGUAAUGGGUAAAGAAGCACCGGCUAACUACGUG
rnacentral:rRNA from 1 species